rnacentral:rRNA from 1 species
AUUGAACGCUGGCGGCAUGCCUUACACAUGCAAGUCGAACGGCAGCACGGGUGCUUGCCCCUGGUGGCGAGUGGCGAACGGGUGAGUAAUACAUCGGAACAUGUCCUGUAGUGGGGGAUAGCCCGGCGAAAGCCGGAUUAAUACCGCAUACGAUCUACGGAUGAAAGCGGGGGACCUUCGGGCCUCGCGCUAUGGGGUUGGCCGAUGGCUGAUUAGCUAGUUGGUGGGGUAAAGGCCUACCAAGGCGACGAUCAGUAGCUGGUCUGAGAGGACGACCAGCCACACUGGGACUGAGACACGGCCCAGACUCCUACGGGAGGCAGCAGUGGGGAAUUUUGGACAAUGGGCGAAAGCCUGAUCCAGCAAUGCCGCGUGUGUGAAGAAGGCCUUCGGGUUGUAAAGCACUUUUGUCCGGAAAGAAAUCCUUGGCCCUAAUACGGUCGGGGGAUGACGGUACCGGAAGAAUAAGCACCGGCUAACUACGUG